AUUGAACGCUGGCGGAAUGCUUUACACAUGCAAGUCGAGCGGCAGCACGGGGGCAACCCUGGUGGCGAGCGGCGAACGGGUGAGUAAUACAUCGGAACAUGCCCAGUCGUGGGGGAUAACACUUCGAAAGAAGUGCUAAUACCGCAUACGUCCUGAGGGAGAAAGCGGGGGAUCUUCGGACCUCGCGCGAUUGGAGUGGCCGAUGUCAGAUUAGCUAGUUGGUGGGGUAAAGGCCUACCAAGGCAACGAUCUGUAGCUGGUCUGAGAGGAUGAUCAGCCACACUGGGACUGAGACACGGCCCAGACUCCUACGGGAGGCAGCAGUGGGGAAUUUUGACAAUGGGGGCAACCCUGAUCCAGCCAUUCCGCGUGAGUGAAGAAGGCCUUCGGGUUGUAAGCUCUUUCGGCAGGAACGAAACGGCGAGCUCUAACGUAGCUUGCUAAUGACGGUACCUGAAGAAGAAGCACCGGUUAACUACGUGCCAGCCGCCGCCGUAAGAC
rnacentral:rRNA from 1 species